AAAUGCCCUCUAACCAUUGAUUGGUAAAAGGAGCCGGUAUCAAGCACACUAAAAGUAGCUCAUAACACCUUGCUCAGCCACACCCCCACGGGAAACAGCAGUGAUAAGAAUUAAGCAAUAAAUGAAAGUCUGACUAAGUUAUUAUACUAAGGACUGGUAAAUCUCGUGCCAGCCACCGCGGUCAUACGAUUAGGCCAAACUAAUAAACAUAUCGGCGUAAAGUGUGUUUAAGAAUUAAACUCAACAAUAAAGUCAAGCCCUAACUAGGCUGUAGAAAGCCUUAGUUAUUAUAAGAUACUCAACGAAAGUGACUUUUAAAUUUCUGACUACACGAUAGCUAAAACCCAAACUGGGAUUAGAUACCCCACUAUGCUUAGCCCUAAACAUAAUAAAUUAUAAACAAAAUUAUUCGCCAGAGUACUACCAGCAAAAGCUAGAAACUCAAAGGACUUGGCGGUGCCUUAUAACCUUCUAGAGGAGCCUGUUCUAUAAUCGAAUAAACCCCGGAUACGACUUACCAAUUCCUGCUUAAAUCAGCCUAUAUACAGGCAUCUUCAGCAAACCCUAAUAAAGGAAAUAUAGUAAGCACAAAUAUUAACAUAAAAACGUUAGGUCAAGGUGUAGCUUAUGAAUUGGAAAGAAAUGGGCUACAUUUCCCCAAUACUUGAGUACAUUUUACGGAAACUUGUGUGAAAUCAUUAGUUAAUGGUGGAUUUCGCAGUAAGAUUAAGGAUUAGAGUGCUUAAUUGAAUAAGGCCACGACGCACGCA
rnacentral:rRNA from 1 species